rnacentral:tRNA from 1 species
GGGCGGUUAGUUCAGAUGGUAGAGCGCCACGUUGACAUCGUGGAGGUCGUUGGUUCGAGCCCAAUAUCGCCCACCA